GCCAUGGCCCGGGAUUAGUUUGAUCCUGGCUCAGAUUGAACGCUGGCGGCAGGCUUAACACAUGCAAGUCGAGCGGAGACUUCGGUCUUAGCGGCGAACGGGUGAGUAAUACCUAGGAAUCUGCCUAUUAGUGGGGGAUAACGAAUCGAAAGGUUCGCUAAUACCGCAUACGUCCUACGGGAGAAAGAGGGGGAUCUUCGGACCUCUCGCUAAUAGAUGAGCCUAGGCCGGAUUAGCUAGUUGGUAGGGUAAAGGCCUACCAAGGCGACGAUCUGUAGCUGGUCUGAGAGGAUGGCCAGCCACACUGGAACUGAGACACGGUCCAGACUCCUACGGGAGGCAGCAGUGGGGAAUAUUGGACAAUGGGGGCAACCCUGAUCCAGCCAUGCCGCGUGUGUGAAGAAGGCCUUCGGGUUGUAAAGCACUUUAAGCGAGGAGGAAGGUUUUUAGUUUAAUACACUAAAGAAUUGACGUUACUCGCAGAAUAAGCACCGGCUAACUCUGUGCCAGCAGCCGCGGUAAUACAGAGGGUGCAAGCGUUAAUCGGAAUUACUGGGCGUAAAGCGCGCGUAGGCGGUUUGUUAAGUCGGAUGUGAAAUCCCUGGGCUCAACCUAGGCACUGCAUCCGAUACUGGCUAACUAGAGUGUGGGAGAGGAAGGUAGAAUUCCAGGUGUAGCGGUGAAAUGCGUAGAGAUCUGGAGGAAUACCGAUGGCGAAGGCAGCCUCCUGGCCUAACACUGACGCUGAGGUGCGAAAGCAUGGGGAGCAAACAGGAUUAGAUACCCUGGUAGUCC
rnacentral:rRNA from 1 species